GACGAACGCUGGCGGCGUGCCUAAUACAUGCAAGUAGGACGCAGUUGAGAACGGGUGAGUAACGCGUAGGUAACUACCUGUUAGAGGGGGAUCACUAUUGGAAACGAUAGCUAAUACCGCCUACUAUUAGAUGGACCUGCGUUGUAUUGGCUGGUAGGUAGGGUAAUGGCCUACCUCGCCAACUAUACAUAGCCGAACUGAGGUGGUGAUCUGCAAUACUGGGACUGUGACACGGCCCAGACCCCUACGUGAGGCAGACGGAGGGAAUCUUCGGCAAUGCGGGGAACCCUGACCGAGCAACGCCGCUUGAGUUAAGAAGGUGUUCGGAGCGUAAGGGUAUGUUGUCAAGGACGCGGUACUUAACCAGAAAGGUGCGUCUCACUACGUGCCAGCAGCCGCGGUAAUAC
rnacentral:rRNA from 1 species